AUGGAACACCUGCAUGCAUGUGGGUCUCUAGAGCAAAGACCAACAUUGUUUAGUGAAUACCUAGAUCUGAACUGGGAUGACAAAAAAUUCAAACACAAUUUCACAUAUGAGAGAAAUCAACUCUUGUAUCCUGAUAAGUUUCAGUUAGAAGCUGUUCUGGAAAAUAUUUUCCUGACUCCAUGUGCCAAACAGAAGAUUCAGGGUAAAAUAGAAACAAACUACACCUCUUGCCUGAAUUACUAUUCAAGCUUUGAGUUCUGUGACCUUCCAAAUGCAAUUGUUUUAUCUGGAAAGCACCAGCUCAACAAAGAUGACACCAUUUUGCACUCAGAGGGCAGAUUCCACCUUGCUGAUGGUGGGAGAGAUGAGGGGCUGAUUGGAAUAUCCAUAAAGAAUCAGAGCACUGCUGAUGUGAAGAACUAUUCUCUGGAAAUUGAAUUAAGAGCCUUUGAAGAUAUUUGGCUAGGCCUGACAGGAACUGCUGCUUCCUCAUCUGUCCAGAGCCAAAUCCUGGUGGAGGGGAUUAUUGAUCAGAAAGAGAAAGUAAAAGUAGCUGCUUCAAAAGGAAAGGAGUGUUUCCAGUACUACAUGGGGUAUCUGCAAGGGGAUUUGGAAGAAGGAGUGGAAGUCAGUGCUUGUUCUGAUGGGAAACACAGGGCUGCCAUUAACACCUAUCUCAUCAUCAACGGUAAAAGGCAGGAAAACCUGGGACAAGUAACUCUAGCAGCUGCUAAUGGAAGCUUGAGUUUUCUGGCCCAUGGAUGUGGGGAUCCAGUUCUUAAGGCUGAGAACAAGCUUAAUGAAAUUGGGAGCCUUUUGAAAACCACACUGAGUGAGAAGAUAAAGAAGUUUGAUGGACACCUGUGGAGAUUCAGGAGAUCAGUGCAGCAUGUUGGUUUCCUGUCUGAAGCAGCUGGCUGGCCUUCAAUGGCCUUGCAAAGGGCAGCAGGAUUCCUGCACAGCGGGGCCACGGCUGUCGCCCAGGUGUGGAAGCAAAGUGGAAUUGGGCACGUUCUGAGAAGCAGGAUCCCACUUUACCUGGAGAAAAUUCAAGAUGUUGUCCAGCAAAUGCAGAACGAAUUACAAAAGCCAUUAGCAACUUUGAAAGAUGCCUACUACGAUGUAACCUUGAAGCCACUGGAUGAAGUCUGGAAAGAGAAGACAGAAGAGCACAUGAAGAAAAUCCUGGCUUUCUUACCCAAGAUUGUAAAAGAUGUGUGGCUAAUGAAACCAAUUCAGAUGGCAUUAAAGGUUGUGAAAGCAGGCUUGGAUAUGGCUACCCAGCAGGUGCUCAGGUGGGCAGAGGCCACGUUUUCCAGAGCUGUGAGCAAGAUCCGGAAGCCCUUGCUGCACCUGUACAGAUUUUCACCCAGGAACUGUUCAGUGGCAGGAAAGCUGCCAGUACUACCUAAAGCAGACCUGUCCCUGCAGCUGGCAAAUGUUACCACUUACCUCAUUGGAGAAAAACUGAUGAGGCCUCUGCAAGACCUCUACACUCUCAACAUCCUUGCAGAGUACUAUAGAAUCAAAAGGAGGAUGAUGGAGAGCCCCUUUGAAUAUCAUGCUAUGAUAGUUGGGAGCAAGCAUCUUGUGACUUUUGAUGGAAAAAUGUAUGAUUUGGCAUCAAAGUGCAGUGUUCUUCUUGCCAAGGAUUUUGUUCACAGUGCUUUCACUAUAAUACUAAAUGAGGAAACUAGGAACUCCAGAUCACUGUAUGUGGAGAUGAAUCAGACUGUGAUCACCAUCUACCCACGACUAAAGACAUCCAAGAUGUAUAACUUCUCCCUUAUGGAAGAGAACUGCCAAGUGCUGGAUCCAUCCCUUGAAAACAGUACCAUGAAUUCAAGGCAAGGAAUCAACAAAAUAGAAGUAUCUGAUCAGAAAGGAGUUUCUGUCUCUUGUGACUUUCAGUAUGAUCUCUGUACUGUCACUCUGGCUGGGUGGCACCAUGGUGUUUCAGCUGGGCUUUUUGGUACCAAUGAUAAUGAAGCUGGAAAUGAAUGGAUGGUGCCUAAUGGUUCCUUCACUGACAACGUGAAAGAGUUCACCCAGAGCUGGCAGGUAAAUAAGUGCAGUCUUGUAGAGAAGAAAGAGAAGCCAUGCCCAAUUACAGCUAAGCAAAACAUCUGCAAAGCGUUCUUUGAAGAACCACAUUCACUUCUUAGGAACUGCUUCAAAGUUGUGGAGCCCAAGCCAUUCUACACCAUGUGCACACAGGACACCUGUGACUCCCCGGCCCUGGGGGCUGCCUGCAGCUUGGCAGCAGCUUUUGUUCAUUUGUGCAACCGGAAUUUUGUCCCUGUGGAAAUCCCUCCCCAGUGCUCGAGCCAGCUCUGA
rnacentral:lncRNA from 1 species